UACGGAGGGUGCGAGCGUUGUCCGGAAUCACUGGGCGUAAAGGGCGCGUAGGCGGCCUGAUAAGUAGGGGGUGAAAUCCUGCGGCUUAACCGCAGGGCUGCCUUCUAAACUGUCAGGCUCGAGCACAGUAGAGGCAGGUGGAAUUCCCGGUGUAGCGGCGGAAUGCGUAGAGAUCGGGAAGAACAUCAGUGGCGAAGGCGGCCUGCUGGGCUGUUGCUGACGCUGAGGCGCGACAGCGUGGGGAGCAAACAGG
rnacentral:rRNA from 1 species